GUUUCUACGUGUGUACACCAACGCACGAUUUUGCAAGUGUGACCAAAACCCACAAAACUCUCCUCCACCGCUGAAACCCUCCUCCCCGAAACUCAUCCGCCAAAACCCAUCUCCUCCAUCUGCCUGCCCUCCCUACCCUCGUCCCCAGCUCCAAUCCCAACCCUCUCCCCGGACUCCUUCCCCGUCCCUUCGCCGCCGCAGCCAUGGCGCAGAAGAUCGGCAAAUCCUUCCGCCGGCCAGGCACCCCCUCCCUCGCCCAGGUCUAUGCCGACAACAACGUCAAGCACCCCAAAAAUUACUGGGACUAUGAAUCGCUCAACGUCCAAUGUGGGGAACAAGAUGAUUACGAAGUCUCCUACAGUAUAGAUGCGAGACCCGAUAGGGUUUAUUGAAACUAGGCAAUAGCUUUUAGCGUUGAAGCCAAGCCACCACAUGAAUUGGAUUGGGUUUGUUGUUGCACACCAUUUGAAUUCGAAGUAAGUCAUUGUUUCUAGGGUAAAUAUGUUAAUUAUUGACUAGUUACCAUUGGAGAAUACUUUUUCAAGUGUUUUGGUUACUUACUUUUCAGCUUCUCCAAAACGUGUUGUCUUUCUUUUCGAAUCUCCAAAUUCACCGUUUUCGACUUGUUAUAUGUAAAAUUUCCUGUGAAUCACAUAGCAGUUGGAACUAUUCUUCUAAAUUGCAAACAAAUAUAGUAUGUGUAUAAUACGAUCGCUUUCACCAUUAUAUGUGACGCAUUGCAUGAGCACAUGUUUUACCUGUACUGGAAUUAUCCAUCCUUUCUUGGAUGACGGCAUUAAUACUCUUAUUAUCAAAUUAUCUCCAUUGUAUUUUUUAUACUAAGUGAUAACUUUUUUGUUACUUGAUUUCUUUGUCUUUUUAGCCCUUUGAAGGCAAUUGAUAUAUUGGAAGCAUAUGAAGGGACGUUGGAGGAUGAUUAGCCAAGAUUUGUUGAUGUGGUUCAAAUUCCCUUUUCUAUCAUUUACGUGCUUAGGAAUAGAUUUGACGCCAAGAAAUGAACUUGAGAACCUUUUUAAUAUUUUUAUUUUAAUUUCUUCUAGGUGUCCUUAUCUCAGAUUAUUGCAUAAAAUUAUUUUUUUUAGUGGUGGAAGUGUUUUGUUGGAAAUAGAUGACAUACGUCAAAAUAUUUCUGAUCUUGUGAUGGUUAUCGUGUCUGCAACAUGUAAUGCAUGGACAGCAGUGAGUAUUGAACAUAUUAGAAAAUAAUGUUCUUUUAUUGGGAUCAUCUUCCUUUACUUUGAAUAAUUAAUAAAAUUUAGCCAUCUAUAUUGUCUUCAAUUGUGGGCUCCAUUUGCAGUUCUUAUUACUAUGUGUUUGAUAUCUACUAAUUCAUGAAGUAUUUCAGUUAAUAACUAUCUACUUGCUUGUUGGAUCUAUAAUUGAAUCAGGAGGCUUUAGCUUUAUUAGUGAAAUGGUGCAGGUAAGUUACUUUCACUUUUCUUGUAAUGCAACAAACAAUGUUGGUUUACUUUGAUGACUCAAUAUUGUAUCCAAAAACUUAUCUUGUGUGUUUACCAAUGCUAUUGGUAUCUAACUAUAAUAAUCCACUUCCAUAUAUUAAAAGAAACAAAUUCUGCUCUAAUAUUUUUUUUUUCUUGGGCAAACUUUAGUCUCGACUGUGAAAUUAGCUUAUGAUGAAAUCCAACAAACAUUGCUUUGAAGCAACAUUAAGAGAAAUUUGCAAACAUCUUGUGGUAGUAAUUAACAUUAAUAUUUUUUUGUUAUGUUAUAUGAUUUUAUCCUACUUGUCGAGCUUUUAUUAGGAUAUUUACUACUAUUUUAUGUUGUUUGUACUUUUAGAAAUCACCUUUGGCAUUGCUAUGAAACAGUAGAUCAGUAUGGUGUAAUCUUUCUUCGUUUUUGCUUUGGGCUUGGAAUUCUCCAUAAGGUAUUUUGUCAAAAUCUUUUUUACAUGCCCUAGAAGGCACUUGGAAGUUAUAGAUCUUGACGCUAUUAUAGUUGCUCUUCCUUUGCAUUUAUAGAUUAGGGUUGUUCGUGUUGUGACUAUUGGUGGAGGAUUUCUCCAAAUGCUACUAUUCAUGUGCUUAUGCGGUGUAAUUGCGUCCGUACGUUCACAAGUCUCAUGCACUAUUUUUUGUUGGAAUCAUUCUUCCUACUAUCAAAUAUGCUUCAUACUACUUUUACAAUUUUACGUACAUUAGCUUCUCUGUAGAAGGAAAGUCAUUUCUUUCCUUCUGCUUUCAGAAUGUAGCUAUGUUAGCAAAGGUUCAAUCUAUAACUUUAUAUUCUUAACACCGUGCUAAAAUUAGAUAUAUUCAUAAUUUUUGUUACCAUACUGAGUAUGGAGGCUUUCUUGAUUAGUAGGGUUUUAAUAUAUAUGUUCAAUGUUAAUUCGUAUAACUGCAAGAGUUAAAUUAAUAACAAUAAGUUAUAUUAUAUUAAGUUCAACUUGAAAAUCAUUAAUCACAUUUCAAACAUCAAAAAUAUGAUUUGCUUAUCAUAUUGGAGUACUUAUCUAUGCCUAAUUGGUUAGCUACAAAAUAAUUACGAACGUUCGGUCAUGUGUAGUUCUUGUAAGAUUGUUCAAGUGGAAGUUCUUCAGAAACAUUUUGUUAAACUUAAUUCUUUGUUUCCUAGUUUUUUUAUGUGAACUUGAACAUCUAAGUUUUAUCAUAAGAGAAUUUCUAACGCUAAACUUUUAUUUUGAUGCAGUGUUAAAGCAACUAUUGGGAGGUACAAGAAAGCUUGUAAUGAGACCCCACGAACUAUUGGCAGUAUUAAAGAACUUGAGAAGUUGGGCCCAAAGAAAGGUGUCAUAGGUUAGUCAUGAAGGAUGUUUUACAAAAUUUAGUGGACGAUGAUCUUGUUACAAAGCACUUCUAUGAGUUCAUUUCCCUUGAUGAUCUUGUUACAAAGCACUUCUAUGAGUUCAUUUCCCUUCAUACAAUCUAAGGAGUUUUUGUUUUUGUAUAGACUUAAUAUGGAUACAAAGUUAAUUUAUGAAUUAUGUGUACAUAUUUCUGUUUGAAUUGUA